rnacentral:rRNA from 1 species
ACUCAAAUGAAUAGACGGGGGCCCGCACAAGCGGUGGAGCAUGUGGUUCAAUUCGAAGCAACGCGCAGAACCUUACCAGCCCUUGACAUGGGACGUAUGGGAUCCAGAGAUGGAUCCCUUCACUUCGGGUGGCGUCCACACAGGUGCUGCAUGGCUGUCGUCAGCUCGUGUCGUGAGAUGUUGGGUUAAGUCCCGCAACGAGCGCAACCCUCGUCUUCAGUUGCCAUCAGGUAAGGCUGGGCACUCUGGAGAAACUGCCGGUGACAAGCCGGAGGAAGGUGGGGAUGACGUCAAGUCCUCAUGGCCCUUACGGGCUGGGCUACACACGUGCUACAAUGGCGGUGACAAUGGGUUGCGAUCCUGCAAGGGGGAGCUAAUCUCAAAAAGCCGUCUCAGUUCAGAUUACACUCUGCAACUCGAGUGUAUGAAGUUGGAAUCGCUAGUAAUCGCGGAUCAGCACGCCGCGGUGAAUACGUUCUCGGGCCUUGUACACACCGCCCGU